rnacentral:lncRNA from 1 species
GCUACCUGGAGAACACCCGGGGGAGGGGGAAGUAGGCUGCUUGUCUGAAGCCUUCCUGCCCAAUGCCCCGGUCCCUGCCUGGCCUGAGAUCUCACCUGCUCCCGGUCCAGAUCAAAGCAAGCCACAGGCCCACCCCAGUGCCACAUGCCAGGGCACAGCAGAACACCUGGAAACAGCUGUGUGUCUGUGCCUUCAGCAGGACACAAAUAAAGCAGAAAAACCCGCUGUUGAGGCCCAAGAAGUGUCGAUAGCCUGCUAUGCAGAAGCCACAAAACUUAACAUUAAGUCAACACCAUUCCAGAAGAUGGACAAUGAAACAAUAAUAGUCUUACAUUCCAAUAAAAUUAAGAAUCAUUAAACUUCAUGUGAAU